AUUGAACGCUGGCGGCAGGCCUAACACAUGCAAGUCGAACGAGUGGCGGACGGGUGAGAAAUGUCUGGGAAUCUGCCCGAUGGGGGGGGACAACUACUGGAAACGGUAGAUAAUACCGCAUUACAGCGGAUGUGCACAGAUGGGAUUGGCUGGUGGGUGGGGUAACGGCUCACCUAGGCGACGAUCCCUAGCUGGUCUGAGAGGAUGACCAGCCACACUGGAACUGAGACACGGUCCAGACUCCGACGGGAGGCAGCAGUGGGGAAUAUUGCACAAUGGGCGCAAGCCUGAUGCAGCCAUGCCGCGUGUAUGAAGAAGGCCUUCGGGUUGUAAAGUACUUUCAGCGAGGAGGCGUUACUCGCAGAAGAAGCACCGGCUAACUCCGUGCCAGCAGCCGCGGUAAUAC
rnacentral:rRNA from 1 species